rnacentral:lncRNA from 1 species
UUGUACCACAAUUCUGACCGCUAAGGCAUGUCCAUUAGUAAACAAACGUCGAUGGUACAGACCUAUUAUCUAUGGUCUUGGGUCGUGUGAGUCUUUCACCUGAUAUAAAUAAUCCUCUAUUUUAAACUUUACCAAUAUAUUGUGCGUCGUUUGCGGGUUCUAAAUAUGCAAGUAUCAUAACUGUGUCCAUUGGUUCUGUUUAAAAAAAAUGGAAAAUUGUUUCGGGUGGAGGUGGAAAUGAAUUGUCAAUUUAUCAAAAACUACUGAAAAUAUCAUAAUUUUAUAUAUAAUUAAAUAAGAAAUAACUGCGUGUCAUUUGUGCUUGAAGACUGAUCUAAUAUGUGGUCAGAAUUGUGGUACAACAAAAGAAAGAGAUGGAACGAAGUUUCAUUCAUCCCUCUCACGAUAGUCCGUAAGCGUGUCAUGAAAGAGAUAGUACUAGUCCGAAACCAUAGCCAUCUCCCUCACUUUUCCAGCCAAGAAAUUAUUACAACGACAUACGGCUAAGUCACGUGUAUUAAUAUGUCUGUGCAAAUACUACUAUCAUACUACUAUUUUUCAUUGUUAUUACUAAUAUGCAUGGGCCAUUGUUGAAUCAUAGAUAAUAAUAUGAUCAUUGAAAAAUUUAGUAUAAUUUGUAAUCAUUACUAAUAAAUAAUAUAAAAAUAAACUCCCCUUACAAUAAUAGUUCAGUUUUCAAGCGGAAAUGACACGCAAUUAACUUGCGUUAAUUAAAUUAUCAUACCUUUGUAGUUGUUGAAUUAAUUGACAUUUAAUUUCCAUCUGCACCCGAAAUAAUUUUCCUUUUUUUUUUUUAAUAGAAUUAAUGGACACACAAUUAUUAUACUUACUUAUUUAGAACCCGCAAACGACGCACAAUUUAUUGGUGAAGUUUAAAUUAGUGGAUUAUUUUAUAUCGGGUGCCAGUUUUACACACUAUAAGUAUAUAUUUCUUUAAUCUAUGAUAACGAUUUAAAUCUUUCCUAUGACCCUCUCACGUCACCAUUUUAAGAUUCACAAUUUUACAGUAUGACUUUCUUUCCUCUAUUUUUAUACUAUUUCACGAUUUAUUUGUUUAAUACUAUACUUAAUCCGUUUUUUCUUUAUUUCUGCACGUUGAACAUUGAAGAUGGAUGAGAGAAGAAAUUGGAGCUCAUUUUGUUGCUACUGGAUCGUGUGGUAAAUUAAGGAACAUUAUAAAAACUCCAAAUGUCGUUAAGUUACACAUCAUUGGUUGUACCAGCCGCUCAUUUGCUCCCAUAGGGUGUACCUAUAAUCUUAAAGAAAGGAAGAGUGCCUUUUUUUUGUCAUUGGGAACGGAGAUGGUGUGUUGUUACUAAACAAGGAUUUAUGACAACUGAUUGUCCAUGAGAAGGAAUUACAGUUAAUUGUAAUGCUACUGAAGCAACCGAUGAUUUUGUCGCAAGGAGGAGACAACUGGAAGUUAGUUUGUAGGCUUUAGAACGCUACUUACUAUAGUAAAUUAAGUUUAAAUUGACGUUAUAUCUAUCAUUUGUCCGAGAAAUGAGAGAAAAUUGUCUACAUAGGUGUUACUGUUUCUGGAUUCAACAUUGUGCAGUUAUUUUUUAACUGAUAUCGGAGCAAUUGUAGAUUUAUUUUUAUUCCUUCUGGAUCGGGUUUGAUUUUCACAACGGCAAACUUUGGAAUGUUUAAGUCUACAGUUAAUUAAGAUCAAUAGUGGAGAAGACAAAGAAUAUGCCAUAGUUAAAAUAAUUCUUUAUCUUGCGCGCACUGUCUAAUAGAAUUAAUCUUUAAGUUCAUUUUGUUAAAAUUAACAUUUUAUUUAGUAUUUUAGGUGCCUGAAUUUUAUUUGAAUUAUUUUUUGAUUGUAGC